rnacentral:rRNA from 1 species
AGCGAACGCUGGCGGCAGGCCUAACACAUGCAAGUCGAACGAACCUUUCGGGGUUAGUGGCGGACGGGUGAGUAACACGUGGGAACGUGCCUUUAGGUUCGGAAUAACUCAGGGAAACUUGUGCUAAUACCGAAUGUGCCCUUCGGGGGAAAGAUUAAUCGCCUUUAGAGCGGCCCGCGUCUGAUUAGCUAGUUGGUUGAGGUAAUGGCUCACCAAGGCGAGGAUCAGUAGCUGGUCUGAGAGGAUGAUCAGCCACAUUGGGACUGAGACACGGCCCAAACUCCUACGGGAGGCAGCAGUGGGGAAUCUUGCGCAAUGGGCGAAAGCCUGACGCAGCCAUGCCGCGUGAAUGAUGAAGGUCUUAGGAUUGUAAAAUUCUUUCACCGGGGACGAUAAUGACGGUACCCGGAGAAGAAGCCCCGGCUAACUUCGUG